UACAUGGGGUGCAACCGUUGCUCGGAAUUAUUGGGCGUAAAGCGCACGUAGGCGGAUCGUUAAGUCGGGGGUGAAAUCCUGGAGCUCAACUCCAGAACUGCCUUCGAUACUGGCGAUCUUGAGUCCGGAAGAGGUGAGUGGAACUCCUAGUGUAGAGGUGGAAUUCGUAGAUAUUAGGAAGAACACCAGUGGCGAAGGCGGCUCACUGGUCCGGUACUGACGCUGAGGUGCGAAAGCGUGGGGAGCAAACAGG
rnacentral:rRNA from 1 species